rnacentral:rRNA from 1 species
GCUCCUUUGACGUUAGCGGCGGACGGGUGAGUAACACGUGGGUAACCUACCUAUAAGACUGGGAUAACUUCGGGAAACCGGAGCUAAUACCGGAUAAUAUUUCGAACCGCAUGGUUCGAUAGUGAAAGAUGGUUUUGCUAUCACUUAUAGAUGGACCCGCGCCGUAUUAGCUAGUUGGUAAGGUAACGGCUUACCAAGGCGACGAUACGUAGCCGACCUGAGAGGGUGAUCGGCCACACUGGAACUGAGACACGGUCCAGACUCCUACGGGAGGCAGCAGUAGGGAAUCUUCCGCAAUGGGCGAAAGCCUGACGGAGCAACGCCGCGUGAGUGAUGAAGGUCUUCGGAUCGUAAAACUCUGUUAUUAGGGAAGAACAUACGUGUAAGUAACUAUGCACGUCUUGACGGUACCUAAUCAGAAAGCCACGGCUAACUACGUGCCAGCAGCCGCGGUAAUACGUAGGUGGCAAGCGUUAUCCGGAAUUAUUGGGCGUAAAGCGCGCGUAGGCGGUUUUUUAAGUCUGAUGUGAAAGCCCACGGCUCAACCGUGGAGGGUCAUUGGAAACUGGAAAACUUGAGUGCAGAAGAGGAAAGUGGAAUUCCAUGUGUAGCGGUGAAAUGCGCAGAGAUAUGGAGGAACACCAGUGGCGAAGGCGACUUUCUGGUCUGUAACUGACGCUGAUGUGCGAAAGCGUGGGGAUCAAACAGGAUUAGAUA